rnacentral:rRNA from 1 species
GCGUAUGCAAUCUGCCUUUAACUGAGGGAUAGCCCAGAGAAAUUUGGAUUAAUACCUCAUAACAUUGUAUUUUGACCUCAUUAUACAAUUAAAACUUCGGUGGUUAAAGAUGAGCAUGCGUCCUAUUAGCUUGUUGGUAAGGUAACGGCUUACCAAGGCAACGAUAGGUAGGGGGCCUGAAAGGGUGAUCCCCCACACUGGUACUGAGACACGGACCAGACUCCUACGGGAGGCAGCAGUGAGGAAUAUUGCGCAAUGGAGGAAACUCUGACGCAGCCAUGCCGCGUGCAGGAAGACGGC